GGGGCCGGGCCGGAAGCCACGGGCUGCCUGUCAAGCCGCCCGUGCGGGUUCAAUUCCCGCCGGCUCCA
rnacentral:tRNA from 1 species